AUUGAACGCUGGCGGAAUGCUUUACACAUGCAAGUCGAACGGUAGAGGGGGCAACCCCUCGAGAGUGGCGAACGGGUGAGUAAUAUAUCGGAACGUGCCCAGUCGUGGGGGAUAACGUAGCGAAAGUUACGCUAAUACCGCAUACGAUCUAAGGAUGAAAGCGGGGGAUCGCAAGACCUCGCGCGAUUGGAGCGGCCGAUAUCAGAUUAGGUAGUUGGUGGGGUAAAGGCUCACCAGGCCAACGAUCUGUAGCUGGUCUGAGAGGACGACCAGCCACACUGGAACGGAGACACGGUCCAGACUCCUACGGGAGGCAGCAGUGGGGAAUUUUGGACAAUGGACGCAAGUCUGAUCCAGCCAUUCCGCGUGCAGGAUGAAGGCCCUCGGGUUGUAAACUGCUUUUGUACGGAACGAAAAGGUCUCUCUUAAUACGGGGGACUCAUGACGGUACCGUAAGAAUAAGCACCGGCUAACUACGUGCCAGCCGCCGCAGUAA
rnacentral:rRNA from 1 species